CUUCGCGCGAAAGUGCAAGAGUUCAAGAGUGCACGGCGCAUGUGGGUCAUGUUGUUGUGUUGACAGGGUGCGCUGAUUUUGGCCAAGAUAGGGCUUGUUUUUGAGCGCGUGUGCGCGUGCGUGUGAUGUAACAGAGACAAGGAGCCGUGCCACGUGCUGAACAAAAUGUUCUGUUCCACGUGCGCCGUCGGAGCUGACGCACCACUGGCCGGCUGUCCGGAGCGCACAGGCCCCUCCACGCUCCCACAGCCAGACAGACUGGAAGACCCGGUCCAAGGGCGUCUUCUGUCAGUCAGGCAGGCAGCGCUGCACACUGACAGGGCAGACACAACAACAGCGUGAGGCCUGCACAGUAGGGCCAAGAAAAAAAAAAACAUUGAAAACUUGUUUCUGAGAAACAUCCCGCCUCCCCAAACAGACAAAACAGGACUCAACAUGCUGUCAUCAUUACAGGUCAUCUCUGUACACGCUGAGUGGAAGAACUGCAUGCAUUUAAAGGACAUCAAAUAAAGUGUGACCAGUAGAGGGAUAGGUCCCUUUUAGUUGAACAACAUCAGCAAUUAUUGCAGAAAAAACAUGUGCGUGAAACUCUCUUUAGCUUACGGGUCACAGGUUUCAUAGGAGGGAAGCAAAUCUGUUGAUUAUCAUCAUAUGCUCAUGAUUUCCUCCAAACUGUAAGAUAUAGUGUAGGAAAAUAUUUGAAAAAUACUAUACACUGAGAUUCUGUUGGGUUGUGUUUUGUUGGCAUGCCUCCUUGUUAUUCGUGUCAUCUGCAUGUCUUGGUUCCCACGCAGUUAAUUUAUACGCACGUAUGCACACAUGCACACCUCCUAUCAACACCUUUCACCACAGUCAUGUCAACGUAUCACAGAACCAUUUCAGAAUCAUGUACAUACGAGUUUAUACAUGCCACGGACAUGUAUGUUGUCUCAUAUAUUCCUUACUGUAAGGAUAAAGAAAUUAUAAAAGAAUAUUUCCAUUUCCUAUUAUAAUAGGCCAAAUAAUAGGGUCUAAACGUUCAGUCCAACACGGUCGUCUGUUUUUAUACUUCACCAUGCAAAACUGAGUUGAGCUCUAUGACCUAUGCUUGGGUAGCCCUGCCUGCCACAGCUGAGUAGACAACAGGUCAGGUCAGGUCUACUCAGCUUAUUUCCAUUUGGUUUGACAAAGUUAGGUUUGGUUCAAAAUGUAAGGGUCAAACACAGUUCUCCAUAAAAUGAAAAAAAUGGAAAUUUAAACAUCUCUGGGUGAACAAGUCUAUCAGGUAUGAAGACAUUCAUUCAUAUACUAUUGCCAUUUCUGAAGACAUAAAACACAAAAUAUAUAGCUUUCCUGUGAUCCCCGAAGAUUGUGUGUAAGACUCAUAAAGCACAGUGAUUAUAUUGGAAGCCUUCUGCUUAAGACUAACUCAUAUCUUUCUCUCUUUCUUGCUUGUUUUCUAUCUGCCAUGCCUCCAUGAUAUACUUUCUGCCUUGCAUCACUGGGGUAAUAUUGUCCCUGAGCACUGACCUGGGGUCAACCUGUCAUCUCUUAACCAGUCUGUCACUUACAUAUUUGUUGAGAAAAUAUGAUUUUUUUUGUAUGUAUUUCAUGACUACAACAUUCCAUUGAAGUGUUUAACUU